rnacentral:rRNA from 1 species
UACGUAGGUGGCAAGCGUUGUCCGGAAUUAUUGGGCGUAAAGCGCGCGCAGGCGGUCCUUUAAGUCUGAUGUGAAAGCCCACGGCUCAACUGGGGAGGGUCACGCGAUACUGGUCGACUCGAAGGCAGGAGAGGGUAGUGGAAUUCCCGGUGUAGUGGUGAAAUGCGUAGAUAUCGGGAGGAACACCAGUGGCGAAGGCGGUUCUCUGGGCCUUACCUGACGCUGAGGAGCGAAAGCGUGGGGAGCGAACAGG